rnacentral:rRNA from 1 species
UACGUAGGGGGCGAGCGUUGUCCGGAUUUAUUGGGCGUAAAGAGCGUGUAGGCGGCCAGGUAGGUCUGCUGUGAAAACUCGAGGCUCAACCUCGAGACGUCGGCGGAAACCAUCUGGCUAGAGUCCGGAAGAGGCGAGUGGAAUUCCUGGUGUAGCGGUGAAAUGCGCAGAUAUCGGGAAGAACACCCGUGGCGAAGGCGGUUCUCUGGGACGGUACUGACGCUGAGACGCGAAAGCGUGGGGAGCGAACAGG